GUUUGAUCCUGGCUCAGAGCGAACGUUAGCGGCAGGCUUAACACAUGCAAGUCGAGCGACAAAGGGGCUUCGGCCCUGAGUAGAGCGGCGGACGGGUGCGUAACACGUGGAUAAUCUGCCUCGUAGUGGGGGAUAACGUAGCGAAAGUUACGCUAAUACCGCAUACGAUCUACGGAUGAAAGCAGGGGACCUUCGGGCCUUGUGCUAUACGAGCGGCCGAUGUCUGAUUAGCUAGUUGGUGAGGUAAAGGCUCACCAAGGCGACGAUCAGUAGCGGGUCUGAGAGGAUGAUCCGCCACACUGGGACUGAGACACGGCCCCAGACUCCUACGGGAGGCAGCAGUGGGGAAUUUUGGACAAUGGGCGAAAGCCUGAUCCAGCCAUGCCGCGUGUCUGAAGAAGGCCUCGGUGUAAGGAC
rnacentral:rRNA from 1 species